rnacentral:rRNA from 2 species
UUGACCUCAAAUCAGGUAGGACUACCCGCUGAACUUAAGCAUAUCAAUAAGCGGAGGAAAAGAAACUAACAAGGAUUCCCCUAGUAACUGCGAGUGAAGCGGGAAGAGCUCAAAUUUGAAAUCUGGCGGUCCCUUGGGCUGUCCGAGUUGUAAUCUAGAGAAGUGUUACCUGUGCUGGACCGUGUACAAGUCUCCUGGAAUGGAGCAUCACAGAGGGUGAGAAUCCCGUCUUUGACACGGACUGCCUGUGCGAUAUGGUGCGCUCUCGAAGAGUCGAGUUGUUUGGGAAUGCAGCUCAAAAUGGGUGGUAAAUGCCAUCUAAAGCUAAAUACUGGCGAGAGACCGAUAGCGAACAAGUACCGUGAGGGAAAGAUGAAAAGAACUUUGGAAAGAGAGUUAAACAGUACGUGAAAUUGCUGAAAGGGAAACGCUUGAAGUCAGUCGCGUCGGCUGGAAAUCAGUCUUGCUUCUGCUUGACGUACUUUCUGGUUCGACGGGUCAGCAUCAGUUUUGACCGCUGGAUAAAGUCGUUGGGAAUGUGGCAUCUUAGGAUGUGUUAUAGCCCGUCGUCGCAUACGGUGGUCGGGAUUGAGGAACUCAGCACGCCGCGAGGCCGGGUCGUUUCUGCGAUCACGUUCGUGCUUAGGAUGCUGGCAUAAUGGCUUUAAUCGACCCGUC